GCCGCUUCUCGGCCUUUUGGCCACGAUCAAGUGUAGUAACGUUAUCAGGUUAACGUCUGAUACGUCCUCCGGGAUCAAUACAGUUCUAGCUAGCAAUCUAU
ensembl:snRNA U2 U2 spliceosomal RNA